rnacentral:lncRNA from 1 species
AUAGUUCUAAUCAAUUGUAACACAUGUAUUUAAUUACAUCACGUGACAUGUUUUCGAGGUAUACACAAAGAGAAGAAGAUAUAAAUUAGGUUAUUCACACUUGGAAACAAGAUCGAUCGAUCCCCCUUAUGAAUUUCAAUGUGAUCGAUCUCCUAAUCAAUUGCCGGUUCUCAUAUCUAAUGAAUUGAAUAAAAUUUAUAGACAAAAUUUAACAAGAGUGUAUAAAACACCCAGAGGUUAAAGUCAUGCUAGUUGCUGCAGCAUCAUCACCACCACCGCUCCCACUCCAACCACCACCAUCAUCACUAUCAGCACCACUAGACCUUAAUUCUUCACGAGGAUACCGAAUCACCGGAGACUUUACUCCAUGAAAUUAUAAUUUUCAUAUGCACAUCAUGUUUCAUGAAUAAGCGGUUAAAAUUUAACUAUUAAAAUCACCCACUACUCAUCAGGGUUUUUUACCAUUGGUUUGGUUGUGUUGUUUUUGGUUUUUCUUUUGUGACACAGAAAGAAAUUGACAGUCAUCAUUUGCUUCACCAAACACUUGCAUAUGCAUUAUAAUUUCAUGCUCUCCAACUGCAAGCGUGUUUGUCUCUUUUUUUUCCCAUGCAAUCUAGAGAGGUUCUUGCUUUUUGUUGCAAAUGACACAUUAAUCAACGAAAUCAAAAGCAUCUUAUGCCAUUUCCCUUUCAUAAAAUCUAGCUCGGAAAGUAUAUAGAGCAGUACAAACCAGAGAACGUGGCCCGAAUGCCCAUUUUUUAAAAAGUAGUCAAAACCCGAAAGCAAUCAAGUCUGAUCAAUGCCAAAAUAGAAAUGACAAUCAGCUAGCAUAAGCUAUCCAACAACAGGCAUAUCCAAACAGAUACUAUUCAUGUUUCUCUAGAUGAUCAGUGCCAAAAUCCUCUUUCUCAAAAGCACUUCUAUGGUAAACGAAAGUCAUAGAGAUCAUACAAAAAAUCCAAAACACUAAAACACUAAAAUGGGCAAUGAGGAUUCAACACCAACAUCCAAUAACCAAAACUGGCACCAAAACACUAAACCCUAGAAUUGUAAACCAGCUUAAUUCAAAAGCAGCUUAAUCUGCAACAAUUUUUUUUUUUUUUUUUUUUUGAGAAGAGCUUAAUCUGCAACAAUUGAACAAAGAAACAGAAUUUACCGUGAUAUAAUGGAUCCCAGAACUGAUCUUAAUGAAACGGAAGCAGCCUUUGAAAAACAGUCUUCUGAUGCUGACGACUAAAUCUAUCUCCACUCUCAUACUUCCCCGACCAUCAUGUCUGGAGCUGCAAUGAAUCAAGGCAAGGUUGUACACAAAAACCCAAAAAUUCGCACACCAAUUUUCCUGAAACAAAAAAACGCAAUCAGAUUAAACAACCACACUGAAAACACCAAAAAACUAAAAUAAUAAGGCAACAGUCAAUGCAAAACGCAAAGACUUUAAUUUUACAGCGAUCGAUCUGCAAAUUUUCUUCCCAUUCAAAGAAAAGACAAAAAAAAAAAAAAAAAGCAGAGAAACCAACUGAAACAGUUCAAUCAGCCAGAAAAAUGGACGCUGAGAAAGAAGCAGUGCAAGCUGAACACGUAAAAAGAUCCAAUCUUUAACCAAACAAUCUAAACCCUAAACCCUAACAAAAUUACAAAGGAGAAGAGAGAAAUAAAAUUAAAAAAUUAAAUAUGUAUGCACCACACAUAGAUUGGAUAAACAUUUGACGAUGAAAUAUAGUACAACUGCAAUUAGGGUUUCAUCAAAUUUUAAGUAAUUAAUCCUUGAAAUUAACCUGAUGAUCUAAAUUAAACACAAGUUGAAAGGAAAUUAGUGAAAGGGAACAAACCUUGAUCCAUUUGCCUUGCACCAGAGACAUGGCUGGAGAACUAUCAGUCACUGUGGAAAGUCAGUUUUGGUGGGUUUCUCAAAUGCUUGCAGAUCUGUUCGUACACACAUCUUUAUAUAAAGCAGAGGAAGAAGAAGCAGCAACUAUAAAGCAGAGGAAGCAGCAGCAGCAGAACCAGAAGAAAUAGAGGCAGGGGAAGCCGAUAGAAACGGAGCAAAGGAAAUGAAGCAGAAGAAAAGGAGGGCAAUCCAAUGAUCCCAGCAGAGAUCAACCCCAAAGAUGUUGGACAAAAUUAUUAAAAAAUAAAUUUACUAAAUUACCCUUGAAUUAUUUUAUGCAUUCUUUCUUGCUGUUUUGAAUUUUUUUUUGGAUGAGGGGCAUUCUGGUCCUAUUCAUUUUGUUGAAGCUGUUACCCCAGAUGUUGGUCAAAAAACAUAACGAACUACGUCCAAAUCAUGCGUAUUUUCCUUCAUAGGUUUGUUCCACACUAGAUUAACCAUUGUUGUCAUUAAUGGCCUAGAGCUUGUUGAAAGAUGAACUUCAACUUUAUCCCCACUUUGCAAUUGGAGCUUAUCGUUCGAUAGUUGUCCUUGCCAAAACAUAUCCUCAUCCCAAAAUCCGUUGCCUAAGUAAGCCUGCAACUUAGUAUUCUUGGUAUUAUUUAUAACAGUAAUGCCAAAUUCAAAAAAAUCUCCAAGUGAAUAUUGGUGCAAGAAGCAUAGAGUCAGCCCUUCAAAAGUACAACCAUCAUUCGGGGGAAUAUCAAAACUGACUGUAUCGUGAUCAUGGUUAACAAACUUAAACCAAUCAGGAACAAAAUUCCCAUAGAGUGAAAUGCCACCAAAUCCGCACGAAGUCCAUCCCUACAUAUACAUUGCAAGUGUUAUAUACAUAUAUACAUGUAAACGUGUGUUUGUGUGUGCAUGUGCAUGAUAGGAAGGCAAUGAGAGAGAGAGAGUGAGAUACCUGUAGGAUGUUCUUCCUAAAAUCAGCUGUGAGAUUGGUGCAAUUACUCAUAUUAAUCAAUGUCAUGAAGUUUAAUGACUUAUCCAAGCCUGGAACCUCUGUGAGUUUGGGCGAAUCACUUACCACCAACUCUGUCAUAUUUGACAUUUCCGAAAAAUUGGGCAUUGUUUCCAAUGCAGGGCAAUUAGCGGCGUACAGAAAUUUCAAAUUUGUUGGUAAAUCAGGGAUUGCACGAAGGUUAGGGCAGCCAUUUAAGCUCAAUGUUUCAAGCUUUGUAAGACCGCUGAGGCUAGGUAGGGUAUGAAAAUCAUUCUCUUCAAGAUCCAAAACUUGUAAAGAAAUUAGACUCCCAAGAUCCUGAGGGAUUGCAUCACGUGCUAAUUUCAAACCAUAUAGGUUUAAAAGAGUGAGAUUCUUCAAUCUAACUGUGGAAGAUGGUAUUUGUCUUAUGGCUGUAUUCAUUGCUUCAAGUAUUCUCAAUGAUAUCAUCUCCCCUAAAUCCUCAUGCAUUUCUCUGAAUUUGGAACAGCCAGUAAGAACAAGAGUCUCAACAGAUUUCAACUUAUAGAAAUCCCUUGGAAGAGAUCUAAGCAUUAUGCAAUCUUUAAGGUUCACCAAAGAAAGUUUUUGAAGUUGACCAAUGGAGGGGUGAAUCUCGGACAAACUCUGACAACCUUCCAGUAUCAACUCUUCAAGAUCUGGGACUUGUGAAAAGUCCGGUGAUUUAAUUAGAAAGUGGGAAUGAGUGAGAUUCAGGAUUUUCAACUUCUCUAGCAACUGUUAUAGAAAACCAAAGGAAAAUUGAAAUUAAUAUCCAAAAGGAAGAUGUCAUAAAAAAAAGAAGGAAAUCCAAAAGCAAAUAGAAAUAGAACAUCAUCAUGUGUAAUUGAUCGUACCUUAUAACCCUCCCAAACUUGUACCAGCCCGCUCCACUGCAUAUCUAAAACAACUAGUCUUGGUUGAUCAAAAAAGUCAUCUGGUAUGGAAUUUAAAGAGAAUCCUUCCCAACACAACCAUAUUAACUCUUUGGGAAGAUGUUUGUAUUCUCCAUUGAGCUGAACGUAUUUGAGAUGAAGGAAUCUCAGUUUCUUCAUAUUGGCAAAUGCUUCUGUACUGAAACUAGGCAGGUUCGAAUCAUAAGGCAAAUAUAGAGCAAGUCCUUCAACUUCUUCAGUUCCCUGUUAACAAAAGGUUAUAUUCAUGUGUAAGAAACGGAUUAUUUGCAUAUAUUUACAUGUAUUAUUAUUCAUUAGGCAAAAUCACCUACGGUGAAUUAUAUUUACACAUAAAUGUUGUUUAGUGUACAAUAGACAUACGUGGGUUAUAUAUGUUUUCGAGCAGGAUGCAUUAUGCAAAAUUUUAUUUGGAAUGUACUUACAGAUUUAUUUCUCAAGACUUCGGCGGCCUGUUGAUUGUUCCACAACCUACUCCAUUUUCCAGGGUGACCAAGAGAUUUUUCAGAAAUGAUUACUUUGGCCAUUUCUCGAAGCAAAUCAUGCACAUUCAACUCAUUCCGCAUAGUCCCCUUAUUCCACUUAUUCUCCUCAAUAGUUACAAGGCAUCGUUCACGGAGGACAUUGAUUCCUAUUGUUCCAAAAAAUCCGCAUCGAUCUAACAUUUUUGCAACAUAGUCCUUGUCCUCUCCAAUAAAGAAACAAGAUAUGUCAAGAAAUAUAGCCUUCUGGUAAUAAUCUAGCCCUUCAUAACUUGUUCUGAGUUGAUUUCCAAUGUUUCCAUCUAGAUGUGUUCCUAAUUUCUCCAAUUGAUUUUUCCACUCUGCCAACGAUCUUUUAGUCAAAAAAGAUCCUAAAACUUUAAGCGCUAGUGGUAAACCUUUACAAUAAGAAACAACCUUUUUUGAAACUUCAAGAUAUGUUUGAUCAGGACAACUAUUUUUAAAGGCAUGCCAACUAAAUAGCUCAAGAGCUUCUUCUUCAUUCAUUUCCUUGGCCUGAAAUGUUUUGUUCACAUUUUGUAGUAGAUGUUCAUCUCGUGUCGUUAUGACAAUUCUACUUCCAGGACCAAACCAAUCAUAACCUCCAACUAUUGCAUCCAGUUGUUCCACUUUAUCUAUGUUGUCCACGAUGACAAGUAUCUUUCUAUGUCGAAAUUCUUGUUUUAUCAGAGCGAUACCUUUGUCAACACAUCUUAUUUUAUGCUCCUUUUUCAAGAUGUCAGAAAUAAGUAUUUUGCAAAUCAACCAGAUCAUGUUUACUUGUAGCAUCGCGAACGUCGGCAAGGAAACUUUUGAAUUCAAAUUGAGGAAGAAUUUGGUUAUAAAUGGCUUUGGCAGCUGUUGUUUUACCCAAUCCACCCAUCCCCCAAAUUCCAACCAUGAGAACAUCAUUUGAUCCACCACUUGAAAGAUAACUGAUAAUAUCUUGAACGCGAGAAAUGAUUCCAACUCUGUGCUUGGCCACAUGUAAUUCGUUAGUGCUGGUGAGCCAUUCACAAAUAUUCUCAUCAAUAAUUUUUUUAAUGAACUCUGCUUCGCUCUUGAAAAUUGAAUUCGUAAGCAUUAGUGGGACUCAAUGAAGGCUCGGUAGGAGAUAUCAGUACAUAAACAAUUUUCUUUCCUUCUUCCCUUCAGUUAAUAUAUAUAUUAACUACCUACUAGCUCGUAUGUGAUUUUAUGACGAACUUGAAUAAAAGGAUUAAUUGAUAAAUAAAAGUUAGGCGUAUGAAUUAAACUCCAAUUACGGUUUAGGUUACUUAUGAGAGAUUAAGGUGUAUUCAUUAAGCAUGUGAAUGAAUGUUUAGAUUAUGUAAAAUGCUAAUUAAGCAUGUCAAUUAAUUGAGAGAUUAAGUCAUUCACUAAAAUUUGUAGCUUCUGUAAAGCAUCAACGUGAGAGAUUAAGGUGUAUCAAUUAAGCAUGUUAAUUAGAGUAAUACAACCUAAAUCUUGAAAAGCAGCUGAAUGAUUACCCAUUGUUAAGAUGGUGGCCAGACAAUUCUGCAGCUUUUGUGAGAGCCUCUCUCCACUGCUUUACACGGAUGUCAUUUUCGUGCUUCCGAAAUGCUUCGGCUAAAUCUCCGUCCUGCUUCCUGACAUGCGAAGGAUCAACGUGAUAGAAUAUUGGUAAAACAUGUCGCCCCAGUUUGUCUCUACACUCCAUGAUCUUCACCAGCUCGUCAAGACACCAACUCGAAUUCGCAUACAUCUUUGAGAAGUUAAUGACAGAGAUCCUCGACUCCUCGAUUGCACGAAACAAUUUAUCUUUUAUUUCUUCCCCUCUUUGUAGAUCGUCCUCAUCAAUAAAGACCUGGUACCCUCUGUCUUUUAAUGCCGCGUGAAGGUGGCUCGUGAAGCAAUUGCGCGUGUCUUCACCCCUGAAGCUCAAGAAUACGUCGUAGUUCCAGAGUUUGGACUUGGAGGAGGACGAAGAGGAGGCUUCGUGGGCUGUCAUGGCGGCAUCCACCGUUAUGGCUUUAGCAGUGGUUCAGAAUCAGAUCACAGACUGAAAAAUAUAGCAAUAGCUGUGUUUGUGUUGGCGUGUUGGCUUGAAAAGCGACAGACUAUUAAAAUGAUGCCACGACCCAGAAGAAUAUUAAAACGAUGCCGUCCGACACGCAAUAGAAUGGUGAAAGGCCGUCCGACACGUCACAGGAUGGUGGAAAACAAACAAUAUUAUGAGAGAGAAAGAGCUAGCAAAUUUAUGAGGAAGAAACAAAACUCAGCAACAACAACAACAACAACAACAACAAAGCCUUUUCCCACUAAGUGGGGUCGGCUAUAUGAAUCCUAGAACGCCAUUGCGCUCGGUUUUGUGUCAUGUCCUCCGUUAGAUCCAAGUACUCUAAGUCUUUUCUUAGAGUCUCUUCCAAAGUUUUCCUAGGUCUUCCUCUACCCCUUCGGCCCUGAACCUCUGUCCCGUAGUCACAUCUUCGAACCGGAGCGUCAUUCGGCCUUCUUUGCACAUGUCCAAAUCACCGGAGCCGAUUUUCUCUCAUCUUUCCUACAAUUUCGGCUACUCCUACUUUACCUCGGAUAUCCUCAUUCCCAAUCUUAUCCUUUCUCGUGUGCCCACACAUCCCACGAAGCAUCCUCAUCUCUCCGCUACACCCAUUUUGUGUACGUGUUGAUGCUUCACCGCCCAACAUUCUGUGCCAUACAACAUCGCUGGCCUUAUUGCCGUCCUAUAAAAUUUUCCCUUGAGCUUCAGUGGCCUACGACGGUCACACACAACACGCCGGAUGCACUCUAACACUUCAUCCAUCCAGCUCGUAUUCUAUGGUUGAGAUCUCCAUCUAAUUCUCCGUUCUCUUGCAAGAUAGAUCCUAGGUAGCGAAAACGGUCGCUUUUUGUGAUCUUCGCUAGAUUGCUCCGGUCAUUAGUGUGGAUAAGUAUAUAAAUGGAUAGAGAUAGGAAAGCAAACACAAGAUGUACGUGGUUCACCCAGAUUUGGCUACGUCCACGGAAUAGAAGAGUUCUCAUUAAUUGUGAAGGGUUUACACAAGUACAUAGGUUCAAGCUCUCCUUUAGUGAGUACAAGUGAAUGAUUUAGUACAAAUGACAUUAGGAAAUAUUGUGGGAGAAUGAUCUCGUAAUCACGAAACUUCUAAGUAUCGGAGUGUGGUGUCGUCUUGACUUGCCUUAUCUGUCUCAUAGGUAGAUGUGGCAUCUUCUCUGGAAGUACUCUUCCUCCAUCCAGGGGUGGUAUCUUUAACUGGUGGAGAUGCACAAGGUAAUGUAUCAAUUUCACUUGAAGCUUACUUGUAGUUUCAGGCUUGGUCAAGCGCGAUACAAACCAUGUAGUAGGAGUCCCCCAAGUCGCCGAGCUAGGGGGUCUGCUGAAAGAGGUGACAGACAAGGUAAGCAAUCAGAGCUCCGACUGAUUGUUCACCUUCUCCCCAUCUUGCAGCAGCAUGAAGGAUAAAGAGAAGAAAAAUGAGAAGAGAUGAUAUGAGAUACUUUUGCUUUUGAAGAAGUAACUUUCCACAGGCUUAUUCUUGAACUGAGCUGGAGGGUUUUCUGGUUUCCUCCAGAGUAUAAGGCCGACUGAAGAAUUUGAGGGUCAAAACAAGUCCAUCAAAUCUAGAGUACGUUCCACCCUGCUGAUAUGGGAUACUUUUGCUUUUGACAGAGUAAUGGAUGUAUCGGCACGUGUGCUGUUACGCUUGUCUCCACAUGCUUCCUUGUAUCCUUCGCACUUGCCCUAUCUGUUCCUCAAGCAGAUGCGGAAUCUUCCCUGGAAACAUAAGAUGUUGAAGAUGAGUACUCGAGAGCAAUGCCAGGUAAGUAAUCAGGUAAGGGGUUCCAGGCAGUCAGUUCCUGGCUGGAAGCUUGAUUCCAAGUGCUGACUGAUUGCUCUCUUUCUCCUUGUCUUGCAGGUAAAAACAAGGCCAAAGGAAAAGACAGGGAAAAAGCAUGAUAUGGGAUACUCUUGCUUUUAACCCUGAUGAUAUGAGAUAUUCUUGCUCUAGUAUAGCUUGUUUGCAGAGGUAUUAUCGGGGGGAAAGAAAGCUGAAUAUUUCGAAAGGCUUCGUUGGGAGUGCCCUCUCAGAUAUGAUGAAGGGUUGAGCAUUUUUGCAGGUCUGCCUGUCCGUUGGGGAUGGAGGUCGACAUAUAUAGGAGUCUCCCUAACAACAAGUAGUAAUGCUAUUCCUUUACCCUGCUUGGUCAUAGCACGGUAGUGGGAGCUGCCAGUUUCACAUGUUUUAACUCUGUCAGAGCACUUUGAAAAAGUGGUCUGUGGUAUCUGGCUCUCGAGAUUCGGAGAACGAUGCCUCUUCGAUUUUUGAGAAAGCAAUCAUGCUGGGGGUCUGGCUCUCGAGAUUCGGAGAGCAGUGUCUCUUCGAUUUUUGAGGAAGUAAUCAUGUUGGGAGUCUGGCUCUCGAGAUUCGGAGGGCGGUGCCUCUUCGAUUUUGGAGCAAGCAAUCUUGUUGGGAGUGUUGUCUCGAAUGUGAGUAAAGGUUGGGCAUGUUUGCUAGUCUACCUUGCCACGAAGCACAAAGGUUGACACACAGGGACUUUCCAAUUAUCCAGCAAUGGUACUGUUCCUUUACCCUCUCUUCGAUUUUGAGAAAGUAGUCAUGUUGGGAGUCUGGCUCUCGAGAUUCGGAGGACGGUGCCUCUUCGAUUUUGGAGCAAGCAAUCUUGUUGGGAGUGUUUUCUCGAAUGUGAGUAAAGGUUGGGCAUGUUUGCUAGUCUACCUUGCCACGAAGCACAGAGGUUGACACACAGGGACUUUCCAAUUAUCCAGCAGUGGUACUGUUCCUUUACCCUUGUGGGUAAUAAUAUGGUAGCUAGACCUUCAAAAUUUAUGUGUCUAAACUUUGUUAGUGUUUGUUUCUUUGCUAUUCUUUUACCUUUCUUGGUCAGAGCGAUGUAGUGGGAGCUGCAAGCUUCACGUGCUCAACUUUGGCAGAGAACUUUGGCAAAGUUAUCUGUGGUACCCAUGAGCUAUUGUUGCGUGUGGGAAGUGGGUGAUUGAACAGUAAGAUUCAUGUGCUUUCUACUUCACCAGAAGUCUUCGACAGAAUGCCCAUAAUUUCUGCAAAGCUGAGUGUGCGUGUGACAGGUGCUGACAAGGCUAGAAAAGUAGGUGCCUCUUCGAUUUCUGAGAUCGGCCCUCGUGGUCUCUGAGCAGCCCAGCUUUUGAGAAAGCGAGCGCCUCUUCGAUUGAUUCGAAGAACGAUGCCUCAUCGAUUUUUGAGAAAGCAAUCAUGCUGGGGGUCUGGCUCUCGAAGAUUCGGGGAGCAGUGUCUCUUCGAUUUUUGAGAAAGUAAUCAUGUUGGGAGUCUGGCUCUCGAGAUUCGGAGGGCGGUGCCUCUUCGAUUUUGGAGCAAGCAAUCUUGUUGGGAGUGUUUUCUCGAAUGUGAGUAAAGGUUGGGCAUGUUUGCUAGUCUACCUUGCCACGAAGCACAGAGGUUGACACACAGGGACUUUCCAAUUAUCCAGCAAUGGUACUGUUCCUUUACCCUCUCUUCGAUUUUUAAGAAAGUAGUCAUGUUGGGAGUCUGGCUCUCGAGAUUCGGAGGACGGUGCCUCUUCGAUUUUGGAGCAAGCAAUCUUAUUGGGAGUGUUUUCUCGAAUGUGAGUAAAGGUUGGGCAUGUUUGCUAGUCUACCUUGCCACGAAGCACAGAGGUUGACACACAGGGACUGUCCAAUUAUCCAGCAGUGGUACUGUUCCUUUACCCUUGUGGGUAAUAAUAUGGUAGCUAGACCUUCAAAAUUUAUGGGUCUAAACUUUGUUAGUGCUGUUUCUUUGCUAUUCUUUUACCCUUCUUGGUCAGAGCGAUGUAGUGGGAGCUGCAAGCUUCACGUGCUCAACUUUGGCAAAGUUUUCUGUGGUACCCAUGAGCUAUUGUUGCGUGUGGGAAGUGGGUGAUUGAACAGUAAGAUUCAUGUGUUUUCUACUUCCCCAGAAGUCUUCGACAGAAUGCCCAUAAUUUCCGCAAAGCUGAGUGUGCGUGUGACAGGUGCUGACAAGGCUGGAAAAGUAGGUGCCUCUUCGAUUUCUGAGAUCGGCCCUCGUGGUCUCUGGGGAGCCCAGCUUUUGAGAAAGCGAGCGCCUCUUCGAUUUCUGAGAUCGGCCUUCGUGGUCUUUGAGCAGCCCAACUUUUGAGAAAGCAAACGCCUCUUCGAUUUCUGAGAUCAACCCUCGUGAUCUCUAAGCAGCCCAGCUUUUGAGAAAGCAAACGCCUCUUCGAUUUCUGAGCAGGCGCCUCUUCGAUUUCUGAAGCUCCGUCGAGUGCAGAUUUUUAUAGAGGGCUGGCAUUAAGUUCCAAAGCACACUUGAAUCUCCACCAGUAGAAGCUUCAUUCUUGCACUUCUAAGAUCUUGAUUUGUCCGACCUCUUCUCUCUUCAACACCUUUGAAAAUGUCUGGCCCCUCCGACCGUCGUUUUGACUUGAACCUUGUUGAAGAGGCAGCCCCGCCUUCUCCAGACAACACAUAUGGCGCCCAUCCUUCGUCUCCCCUACUGGUCCUCUUACCGUUGGGGAUUCCGUGAUGAAGAAUGAUAUGACCGCUGCGGUGGUGGCCAGGAACCUUCUCACUCCCAAAGAUAACAGACUACUUUCCAAACGGUCUGAUGAGUUAGCUGUUAAGGAUUCGCUGGCUCUCAGUGUUCAGUGUGCAGGUUCUGUGUCUAAUAUGGCCCAACGCCUAUUUGCUCGAACCCGCCAAGUUGAAUCAUUGGCGGCUGAAGUGAUGAGUCUCAAACAGGAGAUUAGAGGGCUCAAGCAUGAGAAUAAACAGUUGCACCGGCUCGCACAUGACUAUGCUACAAACAUGAAGAGGAAGCUUGACCAGAUGAAGGAAACUGAUGGUCAGGUUUUACUUGAUCAUCAGAGAUUUGUGGGUUUGUUCCAAAGGCAUUUAUUGCCUUCGUCUUCUGGGGCUGUACCGCGUAAUGAAGCUCCAAAUGAUCAACCUCUGAUGCCUCCUCCUUCUAGGGUUCUGUCCAGUACUGAGGCUCCAAAUGAUCCCCCUCCGGUGCCUUCUCUUUCUGGGGCUCUACCGACUGCUGAGACUUCUCCUAAGCAACCUUUGUGAAGGCUCCCUCUUGUGUGUUUAUUUUGACUCAUGUAUAUGUACAUAUUUGUAGCUUAUCGGGGAUAUCAAUAAAUAAGCUUUCCUUCAUUUCAACGUAUUGUGUUAAAUACACCAAAGCCUUUCUUCGCUAAGUUCUUUGAAUUUUCUUUUGUUGAAGCUUGUAUGUUGAAGCUUUCUGAGUGGAGCAUGUAGGUUGGGGUAGUGUUCCCUUAAUUUUCCCGAGUGAGGAAAACUUCUCGGUUGGAGACUUGGAAAAUCCAAGUCACUGAGUGGGAUCGGCUAUAUGAAUCUUAGAACGCCAUUGUGCUCGAUCCUGUGUCAUGUCCUUCGUUAGAUCCAAGUACUCUAAGUCUUUUCUUAGAGUCUCUUCCAAAGUUUUCCUAGGUCUUCCUCUACCCCUUCGGCCCUGAACCUCUGUCCCAUAGUCGCAUCUUCUAAUCGGAGCGUCAGUAGGCCUUCUUUGCACAUGUCCAAACCACCGUAACCGAUUUUCUCUCAUCUUUCCUUCAAUUUCGGCUACUCCUACUUUACCCCGGAUAUCCUCAUUCCUAAUCUUAUCCUUUCUCGUGUGCCCACACAUCCAACGAAGCAUCCUCAUCUCCGCUACACCCAUUUUGUGUACGUGUUGAUGUUUCACCGCCCAACAUUCUGUGCCAUACAGCAUCGCCGGCCUUAUUGCCGUCCUAUAAAAUUUUCCCUUGAGCUUCAGUGGCAUACGGCGGUCACACAACACGCCGGAUGCACUCUUCCACUUCAUCCAUCCAGCUUGUAUUCUAUGGUUGAGAUCUCCAUCUAAUUCUCCGUUCUUUUGCAAGAUAGAUCCUAGGUAACGAAAACGGUCGCUCUUUGGUAUUUCUUGAUCUCCGAUCCUCACCCCUAACUCGUUUUGGCCUCCAUUUGCACUGAACUUGCACUCCAUAUAUUCUGUCUUUGAUCGGCUUAGGCGAAGACCUUUAGAUUCCAACACUUCUCUCCAAAGGUUAAGCUUUGCAUUUACCCCUUCCUGAGUUUCAUCUAUCAACACUAUAUCGUCUGCGAAAAGCAUACACCAAGGAAUAUCAUCUUGAAUAUGUCCUGUUAACUCAUCCAUUACCAACGCAAAAAGGUAAGGACUUAAGGAUGAGCCUUGAUGUAAUCCUACAGUUAUGGGAAAGCUUUCGGUUUGUCCUUCAUGAGUUCUUACGGCAGUCUUUGCUCCUUCAUACAUAUCCUUUAUAGCUUGGAUAUAUGCUACUCGUACUCCUUUCUUCUCUAAAAUCCUCCAAAGAAUGUCUCUUGGGACCCUAUCAUACGCUUUUUCCAAAUCUAUAAAGACCAUGUGUAAAUCCUUUUUCCCAUCUCUAUAUCUUUCCAUCAAUCUUCGUAAGAGAUAGAUUGCCUCCAUGGUUGAGCGCCCUGGCAUGAACCCGAAUUGGUUGUCCGAAACCCGUGUCUCUUGCCUCAAUCUAUGCUCAAUGACUCUCUCCCAGAGCUUCAUUGUAUGACUCAUUAGCUUAAUACCCCUAUAGUUCAUGCAAUUUUGUACGUCGCCCUUAUUCUUGUAGAUAGGCACCAAAGUGCUCGUUCGCCACUCAUUUGGCAUCUUCUUCGUUUUCAAAAUCCUAUUGAAAAGGUCAGUGAGCCAUGUUAUACCUGUCUCUCCCAAAAGUUUCCACACUUCGAUUGGUAUAUCGUCUGGGCCUAUUGCUUUUUUAUGCUUCAUCUUCUUCAAAGCUACAACCACUUCUUCCUUCCGGAUUCGACGAUAAAAAGAGUAGUUUCUACACUCUUCUGAGUUACUCAACUCCCCUAAAGAAGCACUCAUUUCAUGUCCUUCAUUGAAAAGAUUAUGAAAAUAAACCUCUCCAUCUGUCUUUAACCGCGUUCUCUCUGUAGCAAGAACCUUUCCAUCCUCAUCCUUGAUGCACCUCACUUGGUUUAGGUCCCUUGUCUUCUUUUCCCUUGCUCUAGAUAGUUUAUAGAUAUCCAACUCUCCUUCUUUGGUAUCUAGUCGUUUAUACAUAUCGUCGUAAGCCGCUAACUUAGCUUCUCUGACAGCUUUCUUCGCCUCUUGCUUCGCUUUUCUAUACCUUUCACCAUUUUCAUCGGUCCUCUCCUUGUAUAAGGCUUUACAACAUUCCUUCUUAGCCUUCACCUUUGUUUGUACCUCCUCAUUCCACCACCAAGAUUCCUUUUGGUGUGGGGCAAAGCCCUUGGACUCUCCUAAUACCUCUUUUGCUACUUUUCGGAUACAACUAGCCAUGGAAUCCCACAUUUGGCUAGCUUCCCCCUCUCUAUCCCACACACAUUGGGUGAUUACCUUCUCUUUGAAAAUGACUUGUUUUUCUUCUUUUAGAUUCCACCAUCUAGUCCUUGGGCACUUCCAAGUCUUGUUCUUUUGUCUUACUCUUUUGAUAUGUACAUCCAUCACCAACAAGCGAUGUUGAUUAGCCACGCUCUCUCCUGGUAUAACUUUGCAAUCCUUACAAGUUAUACGAUCCCCUUUCCUCAUUAGAAGAAAAUCUAUUUGUGUUUUUGACGACCCACUCUUGUAGGUGAUCACAUGUUCUUCUCUCUUCUUAAAGAAGGUGUUGGCUAAGAAGAGAUCAUAUGCCAUUGCAAAAUCCAAGAUAGCUUCCCCAUCCUCGUUUCUCUCCCCAAAACCAUGGCCACCAUGAAAACCUCCAUAGUUGCCUGUCUCCCUGCCCACGUGUCCAUUUAAAUCUCCUCCUAUAAAUAACUUCUCCGUCUGAGCAAUUCCUUGCACCAAGUCUCCAAGAUCUUCCCAAAAAUUUCUCCUUCGAACUCGUAUCCAACCCUACUUGAGGUGCGUACGCACUAAUCACAUUGAUAAGUUCUUGUCCUAUUACAAUCUUGAUUGCCAUGAUUCUAUCUCCUACCCUCUUGACAUCUACAACAUCUUGUGUACCAAGGUCUUGUCCACGAUGAUGCCAACACCGUUUUCUCGUUCUAUUUGUGCCCGAAUACCAAAGUUUAAACCCUGAGUUUUCUAGAUCCUUUGUCCUUACUACCAACCCACUUAGUUUCUUGUAGGCACAUAAUAUUUAUCCUUCUCCUCACCAUAACUUCCACUACUUCCAUAGAUUUUCCCGUUAAGGUUCCUAUAUUCCACGUUCCUAAACGCAUUUUGCUCUCUUGAACUCUACCCUUCUGUCCUAGCUUCUUCACCCUCCCCCGUCUAAUAGGAUCAAAGUACUUCUUUUGUGUGUCCCGGGUAAAGUUGAUAGGAGCAUAUGCUCCCAAACAACUUUGAGUGGAGUCGUUCGAAAAGAAGUUUCUAUGGCCCCCUUGCUCAUUUAACACUGCAUCCGGGUGCCGAUGGAGAUACAGCGACCCUUGCUCACUUAUCACUGUGCUCGGGCCACACAGCGCGCCACUUACGGGUGACGCCCUAGCUUUAGCGUGAUUUUGUUCUGGAUUCAUUUUCAUAAGGAUUCGACGUGAUCAUGGAGUGCCGGCUGUCGACUACCUGACGCCCUCCCCCUCCUCCUUUAUCCGGGCUUGGGACCGGCCAUGUAAGACAUAGGCGGAGUUAAACAAAACUCAGCAAUUGAAAAAAAAUAAUAUCUCCUUCUUCAACUUGCAACAAACAAACAAAAAAAUCAAUUUAAUGGUAUUUUGGUGUUCUUGGAUUUGUCGAGAUGAAGGAAGAGGAAGGGGAAGGGUGAGAGAGAGAGAGAGAGAGAAUAAAAUUACUUUCAAUGGUAUUUUUUUAUUAAAUUAACAAUGAGGUUCAGACUCCAGACUCACCAUUAAUUAUGGAGGCUCGGUUACACGUGGAGUUGAAUGGGGGAGUUUAGCGGAACUGAGUCCUGCUAGCAUUUCUUUUUCUAACAUGGAUUCCAUUCGGAUCUAUUAUUUUAAAUUAAACAUAAAUAGUAUCUGAUAAAAAUUAAUCGUACGAUAUACAAUAAACGGUUGAGAUAUGAGAUUUCUUAUGACCCCCACAUAAUGGAUCCAAAGGGCAUCCGUGUUCUUUUUUUUCAAGAAUACGAGGGUAGAAACAAUUAAGAUCUACCUCCCCCUAUUUCAUCUAUAAUGUCAACCGGCUAAAUUGAUUAGCUAAUCGUAUAUAAAAAUAAUAAUAGCAUGAAAUCCUAAUUAUCGAACUAAGAAGGCACAUAGCACACCACUCCAUUACGAAAAUGGAAAAAAAAAUGUGAGCAAUAUAGAGUGUGCAUGCAUGCCAAGUAAUAUCCACAUGAACUAAAAUAUGAUAAACUCUUAAUAAGAGGACUGCUGAAAACGAAAAUUGGUUGUCUUUUGAUUAUUCAUCUCUAAAUAUUGAUGGUAUGUGGGUAGUUAUAUUGGUUCGAAUUCAAAUGAUAUAAAAAUAAUAAUAUAAAUUCAUUACUUUAUACAAAUUCAACUUUAUAUUUGAAGCUUCACCAUAUUGACAUAUCUAAGAAGGCACACAGCACACCACUCCAUUAGGAAAUUGGAAAAAAAAAUGUGAGAAAUAUAGAGUGUGCAUGCAUGCCAAGUAAUAUCCACAUGAACAAAAAAUGAGAAAAGCUUAAUAAGAGGACGGUUGAAAACGAAAAUUGGUUGCCUUCCGAUAAUUCAUCUCUAAACAUUGAUGGUACGUGGGUAGUUACUAUUGGAUCUCACAUUAAACUAAGAUUAGAUUGUGGGAAUCCUUGGGAGAAAACUGUUAACUCGUUUGUGUUUUUUCUCCGUCGUCUUUGAGGUUGAACACGUAAACUUUUUCUUUCUUUUUUUCUUUUUCACUUUUUCAUUUUCUUUUCUACUUUUAUUAUUUAUUUAUUUCUAAUUGAUUUUUCACUACAGAACCAGCACGUUUCUAGUUCUUAUUUACAUAUUUUUGUUUUUUUAUUUUUUAUUUUUUUUAAAUACAGUUUUAUGUUUAGUUAUGUUUUUUUUUUUUACCAAUUUGUCCUAUUUUUUUAUUUUUUUGAAUUUAGAUUGUGAAGGAAAUUAAGGAUCAUUUUUGGUAUUUUCGAAUGCUUCAUCCACUCAACAUAAAAAAAAAGGAUACUUUAACGAAAAGCAUCCGGUACUGUUCACUUUAACGAAAAACCACAUUUUUACACUAAAAAGUCAAUCAUGGUACUAUUCACUUUACCCUUUAUUUUGUCCUUAUCAUUAAAACUCAAAGUUUUCAAGCCCUUUUCAUUAGUUUUCCUAAAAAAAUAAUGUGCUAGAAAGAACGAAUCAUGCUGUACAAGCAACAGCAUCGGGAGACCAAAUACUUGCAUUUAAGGGCCGAAUUAAUGUUGGCUGGGAUAAGUGGUCCAUUGGGCUUUCGGGGGAAAGUAAAAUACAAGUCGGAAAGAAUAUAGAGAGGAGUACCGCCUCGCCUUACGCCUUACGCCUUUCUUCCGUCGGCGUCGUCUAGGGUUUUAGUUGUAAGUUGUAACAGAGCCUAUAAGGGGCACGAUAGCCCCAGUAAUUCAUCAACCUUCAAUUCCCAGACCUGACCGGAGCCGCCGUAGAAAUAUUACUAUUACCAUCCUCCUCUUGGUGAUCGCCCUGUCGCAUAUGGCUUCUGGAUUCAGGGCCUGUACAGGGUGAUUACCAAAGGGAUGACGGUAAUAUUUAAUUCAUGAUGUUGGCAAACUCGUCGGAGGGAAAUGUACUUUGGUUUUCUUGGAUUUAUCGAGAUGGAGGAAGAGGAAGGGGAAGGGUGAGAGAGAGAGAGAAUAAUUAUUUUUAAUGGUAUUUUUUUAUUAAAUUAACAAUGAGGUCCAGACUCACCAUCAAUUAUGGAGGCUCAGUUACACGUGGAGUUGAAUGGGGGAGUUUGGCGGGAGAAAUUUUUAGUUGUAAUAGAAACACGUAUGCUAUAUCAUAUGUUUUUACAUAAGUAUUGAAAAAUUUUAAUUUUUAAGUUAUUAACUUUUUAACACAUAUAUCUGACCAUUUAUUUAGGAACACAUAGUGUACUGUCUCAUGUGACGAUCACAUUGAAAAAUCUUUAGUUUGGCAGAAGCAAGUACUCCUAACAUUUCUUUUCAAGAAUACAAGGGUAGAAACAAUUAAGAUCUACCUCCUCCUAUUUCAUCUGCAGGAAAGUGAUUCUCUUUGGAUCAUUUCUCCUAAUUCAUCAAAUCUGAAGAUCUGUGUCAUUGAAAUUUAAUCCAACGGCUACAAACAGGGGUCUAGUUUAAAAGUUAUAAUAAUUUCAACUGUUUAACCAAAUUUUAAUGACACGAAUCUCCUAAUUUAGUGAAUUAGGAAGAAGGGAUUCAGACAUAAUCCCUUUCCUCAUCUGCAAUGUCAACCGGCUAAAUUGAUCAGCUAAUCGUUCGAUAUCUCUCUUGCUAACGAUAAUCCCUUACGCAUCUACAAGAUUUUGGUACUACUUAGGUAAAUGUUAUCAAGGCAUGCAAAGCAGUACGCCUGGUAUAAUUAAUAACAAUAUUUUCAAGAUGACAUUUAUGUUGUUCACUUAACGAGUAAAUACAUCAAACAAUCAACUCUUUAAAAUGACAAUCAUCACUUUUAAGCAUAACAAAGUCAGCUACAUUCUCCUCAUAAGCAAACUCAAACAACUCAAGAAUGCCAUAAAUCCAAUUGAGAUAAAUGUCACCGUAUCCACAAGAAAUCCAUCCCUAUACAUGUUGAAGAGUACAAGGAUCUCAUAUCAAAUUUGUCAAAAUUAAAGAUGACUUAUAUUGUGCAAUUUUCACUCCUAAUUAUAUCAAAGUUUUUUGUGAUAAGAUAUUCACAUAUGAAGUGUUGUGCAUGUUGGAAAAUUCAAGUCGAUAGAAAGUAUUGAUGUUGUUAAUGAUGGGUCCUUGUAAAGCAUGUGAUAAAAUUUUCAUGUUUCAAAGCUGUUUGUAAAACGUUAAUAGAUGAGCCCUUAACUUAUAUGUUAGCCACCAUUAGCUAGUAAACAUUACCAUACCAACAAACCCCCAAACUCUAUGUGCUGUAUUAUAAAUAAAAUUGGUCUCUACGAAAAAACACUUUGUAAAACGGAUAAGCACUUUACAAACCACUUCUGUUUGUCACUUUUCUUUUCUAAAAGCCAUUUUUGUUUAUAAGCACUAUACUAGAAGCAACGUAAAAAAUUUUAGUAAAAUUCUAUCCUUUAAAAGCACUUACAUUUUUUUCUACUAACAUCAUCAUAAUACUUUGAGAAUAUUGUUUGAAAGCACUUUUAAUAACUCUAAAAACUAGGAAAAGUUGACAAUAUAAAAAUUUUAGUUCCUUUUAUUUUUUAUUUUUUAUUCUGCAAUGUCAUAAUUUAAAUCUUCUAUUUAAUUAGAUGUCAUUUAUAUGUAUCACUUGUCAUGUCAAAUAGUACAUUAAUGUGGUACAAAAAUAAAAAAGCUAAGUUGAAGGGAGCUUUCUUCAUUGACCCCGGCCACGACCAUCAUUAAAUUGACUGAAAUACAUUCUUUCUUGAGGGAUCAUGCCUUCGGGAGAAACUAGUGAUGAUUGCCUCUCAAUGGCAUUCGUCUUCGAGAGAUAUUUCUUUGAGAAGAAUGCAAUUUCAAUAUAAGAAUUUCCGUGGGGAGGAUUUUACGAGGAAUUCGAGUAGUCGGCGGCUUUGGAAAUUCUGGCUCACAUACGGCCACAGUGAGGUAGCAGUUGUGGAGUACUUUCAUAUCCCGGCAAUCUGUGACGAUGUCGUUCCUGGAACUAAAGCAUUCUCUGGUAUAGAUUAAGCUCGGCCACUACAAAUACAAUGAAUUUGGAAGUUUUAGGUCACGACUUUCAGUUUAUGGCUCCAAACUUUUUGUCACAAAAUUGAUUAUUUGAUUGGUGGUGUUUUGGUAUUAAGAGGACGGACAUAUUUAAUGACAGGUAUGUAUCCAAUCUCAAUUUAUUUUGGAAUGAUGAAAUGAAAGGUGGUGUCUGUUGAAUUUUACUGUUUUGCAAUUUGGGAUUUCUGUGUGGAUUGUAAACUUUGAUUUUUUUUUUUUUGGUCAGUGAUUGAAUUUUUCUUGCAUUUGAUACAAAAUUAAUGAAAUGAGAUUGAAAAAUGAGGAGUUGCUAUCAGACGUUUAUGUUUUAGUAUAAUUUCACACGUAUGAUAAGAAAGCAUUCCCACCCCCCCCCCACCCCAACCCCCCAACCCGGUGUUUUUUUCUUCAGAUGAAUAUGAUUUUUUUGAAUUUAGAUUGUGAAGGAAAUUAAGGAUCAUUUUUCGUAUUUUCGAAAAUCCAAAAAAACAUUAGUUUUAAUGAAAAAUGAUAAAUACAUGUGUAGUGAAUAGUACCAGAGAAAUGUAAAAAUGUGAUUUUUCAUUAAAAGUAAACAAUACCGGGAAUGUAUCGUUAAAACUCCCUAAACAAAUGAUGUGGUAGAAAGAAAGAAUGAUGUACAAGCAACAGCAACGGGAGACCCAAGUACUUGCAUUUAAGGGCCGAAUUAAUGUGGGCUGGGAUAAGUUGUCCAUUGGGCUUUCGGGUGAAAGUAAAUAGAAGGCCUUUCUUCUGUCGGCGUCGUGUAGAGUUUUAGUUGUUACAGAACCUAUGAAAUGAGCACGAUGGCUGCCUACAAUUCGUUAACCUUCAAUUUCGCACACCUGAGUCUGGGGGCCGGAGCCGCUGUUGCAGAAUAUUACUAUUACCCUCCUCCUCUUGGUGAUCGCCCUGCCCCAUAUGGUCUUCUGAAUUCAGGGCCUGCAUAUCGACAGGGUGGUUACCAAUGGGAUGACGGUAAUAUUUAAUUGAUGAUGUUGGCAAACUCAUCGGAAAAUCGACCCGGCGCUGGCAAACUCACCGGGGGCAGAGCUCUGAAGUGGCCGCCAUACCACUCCCCUCGCUGACAUUUCACGAAGAAGAUAACGAACGCGAAAAUUAUGCUAAAUUUUAGUGCUUUUGUUGUUUUACUUUGUUUUUGUGUUCUAGGGUUUCAGGGUUUGGUUGCUGGUGACAGGGUUCGAAAGCUCGAGGAUUUUGACCUUUAGCAAGGACUUGUUCUUUCUGUAUGAAUUAACUCUCAAUUCUAUGUGUUAAAGGUGCUCUACUCUGAUGCUAGACAGAAGGAAUAUGGACAGAAGGAAUAUGAUCAUUCCUUCACAGCUAGGAUAGCAUGUGUGGAUGCACUAUUAACGUGGACAGCAAGGCCACUGCAUGUGGUUACUGACUGCUUCAACAAGGACAGCAUGGAUGUCACUUUCUGUCCUUUGUUUAUUGCAUGCCUCUGUAAAAACCUUGUAUAUAAGUUCUACUGCAAUUGUAGCAGAAUAUUCAAUCAAAUAUAUUGGAUCCAAGCUUUGGACCGUGCAACUUCGACACCCAGAAAAUAUUUUAAUGGUCCGAGGUCUUUAAUUCGAAAACAUCCACUAAGAAAUUGCUUGAGUCCGUAUAAUGACUUGUGAAGUCGACAAACCAUAGUCUCCCCCUGUCGACGAUAACCAGGAGGGGGUAACAUAUAUACUUCCACCAUGUCCGGCACCCGAUAUCCUCUUCACAGGUAUGUUUCUUAUGCUCGCCUCUCUCAUGCUCAUCGUUCCUUUGUUCACAAUGUCUCUCACUUAGUUGAACCAGCCUCCUAUGAGCAGGCACGCCAUGACCCUCACUGGCUUGCAGCUAUGCAUUCUGAGCUUGACGCACUUGAAGCCAAUCACACCUGGACUUUGGUUCCUUUACCCCUCCACCAACGCCCCAUUGGAUGUAAAUGGGUCUUCAAAAUCAAGUAUCAUUCCGACGGUACCAUCGAACGCUACAAGGCUCGCCUCGUUGCCAAAGGGUUCACGCAGCGCGAAGGUAUUGAUUACAAAGAGACGUUCGCCCCCGUUGCUAAGCUCAUUACUGUCCGCUGUCUCUUGACCAUUGCUGCUGUUCGCAGCUGGUCUCUUCACCAAAUGGAUGUCCAAAACGCUUUCCUUCACGGUGCACUCCAUGAGGAAGUAUAUAUGUUACCCCCUCCUGGUUAUCGUCGACAGGGGGAGACUAUGGUUUGUCGACUUCACAAGUCAUUAUACGGACUCAAGCAAUUUCUUAGUGGAUGUUUUCGAAUUAAAGACCUCGGACCAUUAAAAUAUUUUCUGGGUGUCGAAGUUGCACGGUCCAAAGCUGGGAUCUCCAUUUGCCAACGAAAGUAUACUCUGGACAUAUUGGAAGAAGCUGGCUUGCUUGGCGUAAAACCUGCCAAGGUACCUAUGGAACCCGAUUUAGUGUUGACAACAACAGGUGGUGAUGCCCUCAAGGAUCCGACUCGAUAUCGACGUCUGGUUGGAAAAUUAAUAUACCUUACCAUCACUAGGCCAGAUAUUACGUAUGCAGUGAAUAAUCUCAGUCAGUUCAUGCAAGAACCAACACUCCAUCACCUUAAAGCAGCACAUCGUCUCCUCCAAUAUCUGAAAGAAGCACCAGGACAAGGGUUACUAUUCCCUACGGAGAACCAACUUAAUUUGGUUGGCUACUGUGAUGCGGAUUGGGCUAGAUGUCCGAUCACACGACGAUCAGUGACAGGUUUUUGCAUCUUCCUUGGUAAAUCACUUGUAUCGUGGAAAAGUAAAAAGCAAGUCACGGUGGCAAGAUCUUCAGCAGAAGCCGAGUAUCGCUCCAUGGCUGCAACGACUUGUGAGCUUACUUGGCUGAGGAAUUUGUUGAAAGAUUUGCGUGUAAAUCAUCCUGAGUCGGCAAGGUUGUUUUGUGACAAUCAAGCUGCUCUACAUAUUGCAGCGAACCCUGUGUAUCAUGAACGAACCAAACACAUAGAGCUGGAUUGUCAUACUGUCCGUGAAAGGAUUCAGAGGGGAGAGAUCGAGACGUCUCAUGUGCAGACGAGACGUCAAAUAGCAGACAUAUUUACAAAGCCACUGAGAGCACCUACCUUCCAUUCACAUCUUGGCAAGUUGGGUGUUAUUGAUAUCCACACUCCUACUUGAGGGGGAGUGUUAAAGGUGCUCUACUCUGAUGCUAGACAGAAGGAAUAUGGACAGAAGGAAUAUGAUCAUUCCUUCACAGCUAGGAUAGCAUGUGUGGAUGCACUAUUAACGUGGACAGCAAGGCCACUGCAUGUGGUUACUGACUGCUUCAACAAGGACAGCAUGGAUGUCACUUUCUGUCCUUUGUUUAUUGCAUGCCUCUGUAAAAACCUUGUAUAUAAGUUCUACUGCAAUUGUAGCAGAAUAUUCAAUCAAAUAUAUUGGAUCCAAACUUUUAUACUAUGAAAUUUCAGUUUCGAUUUCAAUGUCUGUUUUAAAAUUUAUUUCAUGAUGUUCGAAUUGGGAUCUCAAAUAUCGCCUUUGUGCUUGGAUUUAUGAUGCAAAUCUUAAAUUUUGUAACUCGUCUAAAUUUAGAGUAUGUGAGAUAAGAUAUAUUCUGAGAUCGUGUUUUUGCUUGUUUGAAAACUGUCGCCGAAAGCGGUCAUCACCUAGCUCAGUCAACUCGUUAUUAUUUCCAGGGUGCCCUUGGGUCGAGUGUUUGUCACUAACUUCGCUUAUCAUGGCCCUUCAAUUGAAAUGGCACUAGAUAUGUUUUGACGUGCUUGUUCUGCGCAUUUGAUAUGUCUGAUCUGAGGGCCGAUAUGACAUGUCCUAGCAAGGCUAGGAUACCCUAUGUAUGUCGACAUGUCAAUGCAUAUCACGACAAUGUGCAUAGAUAGUCGUAACCUCGUUGCUUGUUGGCAUAAAGCGAGAGUUGGCAUGCCAUUGGCUUGUCAUGGCAUAUCAAAGCAAAAUCCAACGAGUACAAAUUUGUGGCCUUCACUACUUAUACUCAAGAGUCGGAUGACAUUGUGAGACUUAUUACUCCACCCAAAGCGGUAGUAUACACCAUCAGUUGUGACUUGUGAUUCUUGGAAAGAGGUCGGCACCGUUUCUUUAGAAGCCAAAACUACUUUGGUUUGGCCUGACAGGUUCCAGAUGUGCUUCAAGGGAAUGUGUUUUUGGCUGGGAAUUGAGCAAGGUAAGGAAAUAUCUGUUUAUGACACUUUUGAUGACCCAGAAGGCAGGAGAGUGAUCAUUUCUUUCGAUACAAGUCGCGAGGUAUUUCAUGGUAUACCCGAACCAUCUGAGCUCCAACGAUUACCCCUGGGGCGUGACCUUGAUUUGAAGCUUAUUGUGUGGAAUGAAUCACUUUCUUAUGGUUCACAAUGAUGGACGCGUAGUUUGCUUUAAUCUUUGUACGAAAAAGCUUACAUAUAUUCCCACUGAAACAUGAGGUGAGUUUGUUGGUUGUGUGAAUAGCAUAGUUUCGGUCAUGGGACGCAACCACAAGCCUGAGAGCAUAGAGAAUAAUUGCUCAGACAGAUGAAGACUCGAUGGUGGCGGUAGAAGGGAAGAGGGAAAGCUGCAGGAGGCGGUACUCAUAUUCCGUUUGGGCCAUUCCACUGGCUGAUGUUUCAAGGGCCUCUGGGCAGAGUUUGGUGGGCCGGAGAUUAGCCUCACAUCCCCAUAUUGGGAUCCACCCAUAUUAUGAGUUGCGAGGACGCUCUUAACAAGUUUAGAUCUCCCUUACGGAUGAUUUCAUUGCUAAAGUUGUUCAGGUGGUUACUAGGAAUUACUAUCACCAAUGUGUUUCCUUGUUGAUGGAUCAAGGGGUAUAUAUUUUCCCGAUCGCUUGCUAAUUGCUAUUCAUUUUCUUCAUGUUUUCUUCUGUUUUGUUUCCUUUUCCUCUUUCUCAUUUUGGUCUCUUAAGCUGGGAUAGACUCACUAAUUAUCAAAUUUUAUGUUCUUAGUUAUUCCAAAGUGCCAAAACUACAUUUCGGUUUCUACAACAGUAAGUUGUUGUUUAUGUUAACCUUUGAGCUGGUGUUUUUUUGUUUUCACGAAAGCUUCUUUCUUAAUUUCUUCUUGAUGUUUACGGGAAUGUUCAUAUGUAAUCUGUCUGUCUGCAAUAUUUGAUGGAUGCAGGUUCAAUGAAACAUAAUUAUAUAAGAUCCUGCCAAAAUUAGAUCAACUUCAACUUUAUCCAUGCCUUGCAAAUUGAGCUUCAGAACACGAGUCGGAUUGCAAAUGAUGGCAAAAUGUUUGAAAGUGGAGAAAAUUUCGGAGAUUUUCUAUUGAAAGAUCCAUCAUUUCUUAGUCUUGCGGAGGAGAUUUUUUAUCUUAACAUGAACAGCUCUACAAUCUAUUCAACUCUCAUAGUCUCACUAUCUCCAAAUGGUAAAGGCCAAGAGACUCAGGUGUCCGGCUAAAUGUUACCUGAACAAGUAGAUGAUGAAUAAUCAAGAGACAAAGAGAGGCGCGUAAGAGGAUCUUCGUCCAUUGGGUCGGAUAUCUGAUCUCCUCUAUCACAGACUGCCGGACGUUGUGGCUUCCAAUGAUGAAUAGAUAAAGAAAGACACGUACGAAGAUCUUCGUCCAUUGGGUCAGAUAUCUGAUCUCCUCUGUCGUGACCGCCGAACCCUGUGGCUUCCAAUGAUGAGACUGAGAAAGGCGCGUAAGAAAAUCUUCCUCCAUUGGGUCGGCUAUCUGAUCUCCUCUGUCAUUGACUGCCGAACCCUGUGGCUGGAAGAGUACUGAGAGAUUCUCAGAACGAGUUUGAGGCUGAAUAUGAUGGCCUGCAGGAAAAGUAUUAGAAGACAAGGAAAAAUGUGAACGCGCAAGGCUGAGAGGACCAUGAUCAUGCACUGCUAUAGUACUACCGAUGUACUUACUGAGAUCAUAAUCAUAAGAUGGCUCAGAAUUAUCAGAUGACUUCUCAUAGAACCGAGCUGGAUGUUGGUCAAAAACAUAACUAGCUUGGUCCAAAUCAUGCGUAUUUUCCUUCAUAGGUUUGUUCCACACUAGAUUAACCAUUGUUCUAAUUGAUGGCCUAAAACAAGAAUUUACUGAAAGUUGAACUUCAACUUUAUCCCCACUUUGCAAUUUCAGCUUAUCGUUCGAUAGUUGUCCUUGCCAAAGUAUAGGCGUAUUCCCAUAUAUGCUGCAUAAGUAAGCCUGCAACUUUGUACACUUGGUAUUAUUUAUAACAGUAAUGCCAAAUUUACCUCCAAGUACAUGUUUUAUCAAGAAGCACAGAGUCAACCCUUCAAAAGUACAACCAUCAUUCGGGGGAAUAUCAAAACUGACUGUACUGCUCUGGUUAACAAACUCAAACCAAUCAGGAACAAAAUUCCCAGAGAGUAAAACGCCACCAAAUCCGCACAGAGUCCAUCCCUACAUAUACAAUGCAAGUGUCAUACACACAUACAUACAUACACAUGUAAACGUGCGUUUGUGUGUGCAUGUGCACGAUAGGAAGGCAAUGAGAGAGAGAGAGUGUGAGGUACCUGUAGGAUGUUCUUCACAAAAUCAGUUGUGAGAUUGGUGCAAUCCCUCAUAUCAAUCAAUGUCAUGAAGUUUAAUGACUUAUCCAAGCCUGGAAUCUCAGUGAGUUUGUGCGAAUCUCUUACACUCAACUCUGUCAUCUUUGACAUUUCCGAAAAAUCGGGCAUUGUUUCCAAUGCAUGGCAAUUAUCGGCAUACAGAAAAUUCAAAUUUGUUGGUAAAUCAGGGAUUGUACGAAGGUUAAAGCAGUUAUUUAAACUCAAUGUUUCAAGCUUUGUAAGACCACUUAGGCUGGGUAGGGUAUGAAAAUCAUUCCCUUGAAGAUCCAAAACUUGUAAAGAAAUUAGACUCCCAAGAUCCUGAGGGAUUGCAUCAUGUUCUAAUUCCGCACCAUCUAGGGAUAAAAGAAUGAGAUUCUUCAAUCUAACUGUGGAAGAUGGUAUUUGUGAUAUGGCUGUAUUAUCUGCUUCAAGUAUUCUCAAUGAUAUCAUCUCCCCUAAAUCCUCAUGCACUUCUCUGAAUUCUAAACAGCUAUUAAGAAGAAGAGUCUCAACAGAUUUCAACUUAUAGAAAUCCCUUGGAAGAGAACUAAGCUUAACGCAUUCGCUAAGGUUCACCAAAGAAAGUUUUUGAAGUUGACCAAUGGAGGGGUGAAUCUUGGACAAACUCCUACAAUUUUCCAGUAUCAACUCUUCAAGAUUUGGGACUUGUGAAAGGUCCGGUGAUUUAAUUAAAAAUAGGGAAUGACUGAGAUUCAGGAUUUUCAACCUCUCUAGCAACUGUUACAGAAAACCAAAGGAAAAUUGAAAUUAAUAUCCAAAAGGAAGAUGUCAUAAAAAAAAAAAGGAAAUCCAAAAACAAAUAGAAACAGAACAUCAUCAUGUGUAAUUGAUCGUACCUUAUAACCCUCCCAAACUUGUACCAGUUUGCUAUACUUCAUAUCUAAAAUAACUAGUCUUGGUUGAUCAAAAAAGUCAUAUGCUAUGGACUCUAAAGGGCAUCCUUCCCAACACAACCAUAUUAACUCUUUGGGAAGACGUUUGUAUUCUCCCUCGAGCUGAACAUAUUUGAGAUGAAGGAAUUUCAGUUUCUUCAUAUUGGCAAAUGCUUCUGUACUGAAACUAGGCAUGCUAGAGCUUAGAGUAAAAGGGAAAUUUAGAGCAAGUCCUUCAACUUCUUCAGUUCCCUGUUAACAAAAUGUGUAAGAAACGGAUUAUUUGCAUAUAUUAUUAUUCAUUUGGCAAAAUCACCUACGGUGAAUAUAUUUACACAUAAAUGUUGUUUAGUGUAUAAUAGACAUACGUAGGUUACAUAUAUGUUUUCAAGUAGGAUGCAUUAUGCAAAAUUUUAUUGGGAAUGUACUUACAGAUUUAUUUCUCAAGACUUCGGCGGCCUCUUGACGAUUCCACAACCUACUCCAUUUUUCAGGGUGACCAAGAGAUUUUUCAGAAACGAUUACUCUGGCCAUUUCUCGCAGCAAAUCAUGCAUAUUCAACUUGUUGUCUUCAACAGUUAUAAGGCAUCGUUCACGGAGGACACUGAUUCCUAUUGAUGCAAAAAGUCCACAUCCAUCUAAUACUUUUGUGACAUAAUUCUUGUCCAUUCCAAUAAAGAAACAAGAUAUGUCAAGAAAUAUAGCCUUCUCUGAAGGAUCUAGCCCGUCAAAGCUUAUUCUGAGUCGAUUUACAAUGUUUCCAUCUGGAUAUCUUCCCAAUUUCUCCAAUUGACUUUCCCACUCUUCCAACGAUCUUUUAAUCAAAAGAGAUCCUAAAACUUCAAGCGCUAGUGGUAAACCUCCACAGUAAGAAACAAAUUUUUCUGAAACUUCAAGAUAUCCUUGAUUAGGACAACUAUUUUUAAAGGCAUGCCAACUAAAUAGCUCAAGAGCUUCUUCUUCAUUCAUUUUCUUAGCCUGAAAUGUUUUGUUCACAUUUAGUAGUAGACGUUCAUCUCGUGUCGUUAUGACAAUUCUACUUCCAGGACCAAACCAAUCAUGACUUCCAACUAUUGCAUCCAGUUGUUCCUUUUUAUCAAUGUUGUCCACGAUGACAAGUAUCUUUCUAUGUCGAAAUUGUUGUUUUAUCAGACCUAUACCUUCGGCAACACAGCUUAUUUCAUGCUUCUUUUUCAAGAUGUCAGAAAUAAGUUUUUUUUGCACAUCAACCAGAUCAUGUUUACUUGUAGCAUCGCGAACGUCGGCAAGGAAACUUUUCAAUUCAAACUGAGGAUGAAUUUGGUUAUAAAUGGCUUUGGCAGCUGUUGUUUUACCCAAUCCACCCAUCCCCCAAAUUCCAACCAUAAGAACAUCAUUUGAUCCACCACUUGAAAGAUAACUGAUAAUAUCUUGAACGUGUGAAUUGAUUCCAACUAUGUGCUUGGCCACAUGUAAUUCGUUAGUGUUGGUGAGCCAUUCACAAAUAUUCUCAUCAAUAAUUUUUUUAAUGAACUCUGCUUCGCCCCUAAAAAUUGAAUUCGUAAGCAUUAGUGGGAAUCAAUGAAGGCUCGGUAGGAGAUAUCAGUACAUAAACAAUUUUCUUUCCUUCUUCCCUUCAUAAUAUAUAUAUAUAUAUAUAUAUAUAUAUAUAUAUAUAUAUAUAUAUAUAUAUAUAUAUAUAUAUCAGUACAUAAACAAUUUUCUUUCCUUCUUCCCUUCAUAAUAUAUAUAUAUAUAUAUAUAUAAUGAACUUGAAUAAAAGAAUUCAUUGAUAAAUAAAAGUUAGGCGUAUGAAUUAAACUCCAAUUACGGUUUAGGUUACUUAUGAGAGAUUAAGGUGUAUUCAUUAAGCAUGUGAAUGAAUGUUUAGAUUAUGUAAAAUGUUAAUUAAGCAUGUCAAUUAAUUGAGAGAUUAAGUCGUUCGCUAAAAUUAGCAGCUUCUGUGAAGGAUAAACUUGAGAGAUUAAGGUGUAUUAAUUAAGCAUGUUAAUUAGAGUAAUACAACUCAAAUCUUGAAAAGCAGCUGAAUGAUUACCCAUUGUUAGCGAUUUUAUGAUGGUGGCCAGACAAAUUUGCAGCCUUUGUGAGAGCCUCUCUCCACUGCCUUACCCUUUCUUGUUUAGCUUCACGUUUCUUGUCAUCUUUUUCUUCACGGAUGUCCUUUUCGUGCUUCUGAAAUGCUUCGGCUAAAUCUCCGUCCUGCUUCCUGACAUGCGAAGGAUCAACGUGAUAGAAUAUUGGUAAAACAUGUCGCCCCAGUUCGUCUGUACACUCCAUGAUCUUCACCAGCUCGUCAAGACACCAACUCGAAUCCGCAUAUCUCCUUGAGAAGAUAAUGAUAGAGAUCAUCGACUCUUCGAUUACCUUUAACAGUUCUUUUAUUUCUUCCCCUCUUUGUAGAUCGUCCUCAUCAAUAAAGACCCGGUAACCUCUGGCUUUUAAUGCCUCGUGGAGGUGGCUCGUGAAGCCAUAGCGUGUGUCCUCGCCCCUGAAGCUCAAGAAUACGUCGUACUUCCAGAGUUUGGACUUGGAGGAGGACGAAGAGGAGGCUUCGUGGGCUGUCAUGGAGGUAUCCACCGUUAUGGGCAUAGCAGUGGUUCAGAUCACAGACUGAAAAGAUGGCAACAACUGCGUUUGCGUUGCCGAAGGAUGAUACUUAAACAUAAGUCAAGAUCUUGAGUCAACAAAGGCAAAAGUUUAUAAUAUAAUAAUGUUGGCGUGUGGACCUGAUAUAAUGAUGAAACACGACAUACUGCCGAGCGGGAAGGUGCAGGGAAAGAGAGGAAAAGAGGAAAGAAAGAAACAUGAUAGGACAGAUUAGGGAUUUUUUUUUUUUUCACCAAUCCGAAUUUCGCAUUGAAGCACCUCUCCAACUCCGCCAACAACAGCCUCACCACUCGUGACCUCCUUUUCAAGAGAUUAGUAGUGCAGCGGCAGCAUGGGGAGGAGGAAACUGAACAAGUAUACCUGUUGCUUAAGUUAUGCAAAGACGAUGAUAAUAUCAAUGACGAGGAUAGCAAUAGCUACUCUCUUGUUGGUGUCGAGGAAAUCGUUUUUCCUCACUCUUUGAUUCAGAAGGUCGGACUCCCGGAACAACUGCAUAUUAUAGGCCACUGCAAUGGCAUUGUUUUACUAUAUAGUAAGAGUAGCUUUGUUUUAUGCAAUCCCGGAAUUGAGGAAUUCAUUUCAUUCGUGUUCCCGAUGAGCCAUGCUUUCCAAUGUGGCCCAGAUUAGGUUUGGACCUGCGGGAGGAUUACAAUUGGCCAUAACAUAUUGAUACUGGUUUUCAUCCUGGAUUUGGCUAUGAUACCAAAUCUAACGAGUACAAUUUUGUGGCCUUUACUACUUAUACUCAAGAGUCAGAUGACAUUAUGACACUUACUGUUUCACACAAAGCGGUAGCAUACAUACACCAUCAGUUGUGAUUCUUGGAAAGAGGUCGACACCGUUUCUUUAGAAGCUGAAACUACUUUGUUUUGGCCUGACGGGGUUCCUGAUGUGCUUCAAGGGAAUGUGUUUUUGGCUGGGAAUUGAGCAAGAUAAGGAAAUAUCUGUUUAUGACACUUUUGAUGACCCAGAAGGCGGGAGAGUGAUCAUUUCUUUUGAUACAAGUGACGAGGUAUUUCGUGGUAUACCCGAACCAUCUGAGUUCCAACGAUUACCCCUGGGGUGUCACCUUGAUUUGAAGCUUAUUGUGUGGAAUGAAUCAGUUUCUUAUGGUUCACAAUGAUGGACGCAUAGUUUGCUUUAACCUUUGUACUAAAAAGCUUUCAUAUAUUCCCACUGAAACACGAGGUGAGUUUGUUGGUUAUGUGAAUAGCAUAGUUUCGGUCAUGGGACACAACCACAAGCCUGAGAGCAUAGAGAAUAAUUGCUCAGACAAAGAUGAAGAUGUGAUGGUGGCGGUAGAAGGGAAGAGGGAAAGCUGCAGGAGGCUGUACUCAUAUUCCGUUUGGGCCAUUCCACCGGUUGAUGUUUCCCAUAGAAUCGAUAAGGUGAUGGAGGGCCAGUUUGGUGGGCCAGAGAUUGAGCCUUACAUCCCCAUAGUGGGAUCCAUCCAUAUGAUGAGUCAUGAGGACGCUCUUUACAAGUUUAGAUCUGCCCCCAGGGAUGAUAUCGUUGCUAAAGUUGUUUAGGUGGUUACUAGGAAUUACUUUCAUCAAUGUGUUUCCCUCUUGAUGGAUCGAAAGGUCUAUAUCUUCCCGAUUUCUUGCUAAUUGCUAUUCAUUCUCUUCAUGUUUUCUUCUGUUUUGUUUCCUUUUCCUGUUUCUCGUUUUGGUUUCUUGAGCUGGGUAGACUCACUUAUCAUCAAAAUUUCUUUUCUUAGUUAUUUCAAAGUGCCGAAUCUUGGAGUUACCAUUUUGGUUUCUACAACAGUAAGUUGUUUUACAAUACUUUUGAGCUGGUGUUCUUUUGUUUUCGCAAAAGCUUCCUUCUUAAUUUCUUCUUCUUGUUUACGGGAAUGUUCAUAUGUAAUCUGUCUGUCUGCAAUAUUUGAUGGAUGCAGGUUCUCUACCAUAUUUGAGCCUCCUCUACGGGAAGUCGACGGAAGAAGAAGAGGAAAAAAGCUCGAGAUGAAACACCCCAACCCCAUUUGUUAAUUAAAAAUUGUUUUAAAGCCUUAAUUGGUGAGCUCGUGGGGCCCACCUUGUGUUUAUUUUAUGUUUUCUGGUCUCCAUCUCUUCUCUCAGUUCUCUCUUCUCCCUCACCUCUCCUGCAACUCUCUCUCCCUCACUCUCUCGGCUCUCUCUAUCUCAACCCUUCCGAGAGUUUUUCUUACUAACAAACAUCACCAUCGUCUUUAUUUGGUUUGGGUAUGGCACUGUUGCGACAUGGUACUAGAGUUUCUACAGGUAACAUUGGUUGUUAGAGGAGUUGUGUGAGCUUGUAUUCGGAGGAUCGAAUUUACGACGUGUGAAAUUAUUCAUCAUCAGGAAAUUACUGCUUGCUUAUCGAGACAACAAAUGUGUGAUCGAUAUCACGGGCGGCCGAUCGGUAUAUCGAUAGCUUAUUUGUUGGGUUCAUUAGGCAAGUUGGCAAGAAGAUUCGUCUACAACAGCUGGUGCAGAUUCAGAAUUGUUCUUCUUGGGACUCGACCCAAAGACACAUCUAUUUUCGGAGUACGUGACAUUUCGAAUUCUUGGGCAAGACCCACUCUCAUUUUCAGUUUUGGUUUUUCAGUAAAAGUAUUUUAAUUUCCAUUACUAGUUAUUUGUUUUUGUCGUUACAAAUGUUUUGGAAAAGUAUUUCUGUUUUCGUUUUUAAGUUGAUUCGAGUUUUUGGAAUAUAUGUUAGUACAUAUCUAUUUUGGCGUUAUCUAGCCUUAAAUUAUUUUGUGUUUUCGACUUUAUAUUUUAUUAAAGUAUGUUUCCUAUUUUUACACUGAUGGGGAAAUAAAGUUUGAGCCUGGAGGCACGGAAGAUGGAAUCAUUGCAACCCGAUCGCGACGGGAUGGCAUUUUUCCUUUUGUGCAACCGCUCUGAUUUGAUUUCUUCGUUACGUAUAUAUAUGUGUAUCCUUUUUCGUAUUUUUGAGUUUUUCAGUGUAGUAUGUUAUCUUAAAUUUCGAGGAUGAAAUUUUUUUAUAAGGGUGGUAGAUUGAAACACUCCAACCCCAUUUGUUAAUUAAAAAUUGUUUUAAAGCCUUAAUUGGUGAGCCCGUGGGGCCCACCUUGUUUUAUUUUAUGUUUUCUGGUCUCCCUCUCUUAUCUCAGUUCUCUCUUCUCCCUCACCUCUCCCGCAACUCUCUCUCCCUCACUCUCUCAGCUCUCUCUAUCUCAACCCUUCCGAGAGUUUUUCUUACCAACAAACAUCACCAUCGUCUUUAUCUCGUCGCUACGAACUCAACCAUAGUAUUGGCAUCUUGAAAGUCAAACCACGAAGCCCGUACACGAGCUCGGCGAGCACCGCCCCUUUCGAGGCCAUUUACGGCCAAACCAUGGCAAGUUGGCCGGCGUGUAAGGUAUAAUCUCUUCGUCUCGUUGAGAACUAUAACUUUCCUUUUUGUUUCACUCAAUUUCAUUGAGUAUUGAAGAAGUUAUACUCAUUUGAAUCUUACCCAGUUUCCGGCGAGUCCGACGGCUUUCGAGGCGUUUUCCGGCCAAACCACGGCGAGUUAUAUGUCGUGUGAGGUACCAUUCUCUUCGUCUCUUUAAGGGCUACAACUUUCGUUUUUUUCUCGCUUGAUUUCGUUGUGUAGUGACAAAGUUAUAGUCGUUUAAAGUUGGGUGGUUUUCCGGCCGAAUCUCCGGCCUUCUUCCUCGGCAACCAGGCCUUUCAGGCCAUUAGAACCCCCCGGGCCUUAGCCAAUUGGGCUAGCCCAGUAACCCAGCCCGCACCCUUUUAUUUUUAAGUUAUUUUGUUUUCAAGACCCAAAAGGCCACGGGCCUUAAUACUGAAGGUCCUUGGGCCAAUUUCUGUCAAAGGGCUUAAAGCCCUGCCCUUUGUGAGGCCUUAGGGCCGGCUUUGGUGUGAAUGGGCUGUGUGUGUGUGUGUGUGUGGGUUUAAAGCCCAAACCACCAUUUUUCAUCCUAAACCAUUUUUAACCCAAAAACCCAAUAGGUCCUAACCCUAUUUAACCUAAACCUAAACCCUAAUCCGGAUUUCAAGCCUAAAACCCGUUUGACCUAAUUUGACCGUUGACCCCCGGUCAACGUUGACUUUAGGGUUGACUUUUCGGGUUUUCGUCCGGGACCCUUCUUAGGGUAAUUCGACGUUCUGAAUCCAUUUCCAAUGUCCGUUUUCCCAAAUUCAAUUGCUAUUAUAUAGUUUUAUUUAUUGGACUUUUUAUGUGCUUAGGGGCAAUUAUUGUGACGUUUCCGUCUUCACUAGUGGCGCAGUUUUUGGCGGCUAAGUACUAUGAGUGGACCCCUUCUAAAAUUACAUGAUUUGAUAAUUUAAUUGCAUAAAUGAUUAGCAUGCCUACGGAUUUAUAAUUUGAUUUAUGUGAAACCUAUUGAUUUAAUAUAUUGAUUAUCGUCUCGUGUUUUGGUGAGGAAUUAAUUGUUAGCCUAUAUUGAGCUAUAUUUUAAUAUAUCGUAUUUUCUAUUAAAACCAUGAACUGGUAGACUAUCUGAUAGAUGACGAUAGGAUGCUAGAACAUGUUUUUGAACCCUCUUUAUAGUGUAGACGAUGAUCGGUAACCUAUGCUAUGAAGUGGUUAUUUAAGAGAGGCGUAACUAUUUGUGCGUACCUAGUGGAUACUAUGCCGCCUGGGGCGAGAAUCUGGUGUUGGCAUUUAGGCUGGGAGAAAUAAUCCCUAGCGAAAGGCUGAGGGACACGGUGACAGGCAUUGGGCCGGGAGAGAGUUAUCUCUGGCUACGGGCACAGAGACUUAGGUGUAGGCAUUGGGCCGGGAGUUAUAUUUAUUCGGUGAUCUUACUAGCAGCACACCGCGCUUACGAGACGAUUUAUGAGACGUUUAAUAUUUUGAUUUCUGCAAUGAGUUUCCGCGAUAUGGCUUUUGAGAUAUUUUGGCAUGCUAGGAUUUUGAUUUAAAUCCAUCACUUAUUAUGCUAGUAGUUUUCAUUUAUAUAAACUGUGGGGGUUAGUAUCUUGAUAACUGUUUUAUUAUUAUUGUAUAUAUGAACUUGGUCCACUCACCUUUGUUUUGCGCCCCCAUUCAGGACUUAGAAUCAAGGCACCUAAUCCCGGCGUGAAGGCACUUCCGCAGCAGCAUCUUCGAAUCCUCUCGAUGUAGGACCUACUCCUUUAUUCAUUAAAUUUUAUCUUAAUUCUUUUUAGUGAUUAGGUUUGUAUGCUCUAAACACGUUCCUAAAUUAUUAAUUCUUCGUAUUUUUAAAUUUCUAACCCUUAUUUAUUUCUUAUUCUUAGUUUUUGUAUCAAUUAAUGGCUUUCGUCACCCUCGGGUAUCGGCCAGCACGUGUCUAUCCUGGUAUUCAAGGAAUAUCAGGGUCGGGGCGUGUCACGAGAACUGGUUAAUGCUCUGGAUGAAGGCAUUACUAGCUUGAGCUUCCGCGUAACUCGCUUUGCAUUGUAUGAAAUCGACUACGAUGACAAAUCUCUGAAAUCUUGGACGAAGAUUGAUGACAUCGGCCAUUAGACAAGUUCUGAAUUCAUAUAAUUGCAAGCAAGUUAGUAACCUAACGUUCAUACAUACAUACAUGUUGCCCAAAUUUGAUACAUCAUGGAUGAGAUAAUAAGUGGAAAUCUUUGAUGAAUGUAACCUAACGUAGCCUGCUAACGGAGAGAUUUUUUCGGUGUACUUUGAACAUUGUCAUUGUGAUAAAAUAGUUCUAAUCAAUUGUAACGCAUGUAUUUAAUUACAUCGCGUGACAUGUUCUCGAGGUACACACAAAGAGAAGAAAAAGAUAUAAAUUAGGUUAUUCACACUUGGAAACAAGAUCGAUUGAUCCCCUUAUGAAUUUCAAUGUGAUCUUGAAGUAGUAUUUAACUCUUUCCUUGAAUUUGAUCGAUCUCCUAGUCAAUUUUUUGUCCUCAUAUCGAAUGAAUUGAAUAAAUUUAUGGACAGAAUUUAACAAGAGUAUAAAACACCCAGGGUUUGAAGUCAUGCUAGUUGCUGCAGUAUCAUCACCACCACCGCUCCCAUUCCAUCUUUUCUAGACUUCUGGUCGUCCACUGCCACAACCACCGCCAUCAUCACUAUCAGCACCACUAUACCACUCGGUUGGACUUCUAGUCAUGCAUGCACCUAGAUGUUCCUAAACGUAUUUUUGAUGUGAUGCACGGGACAAAUAUGUUUCACAAUUUGCUUAAAAGAAAUCAUUGUCCAUGAGAUAUUAUUGUGUUGGAACAAGACAAAUAUUGGUCACUUACGU